AAUCUGAAAAACCAAUGGCCUUUAGUUUAAUCUUUAUUGUACUGUAAACUAUUGUACAAUAUGUUUUGUCCAGAUAAGGGUAGAAGGGUCAACCCCAAAAUAAAUUGAUGUUCUCUAAAUGAUAAUUAGGGUUAUAAUAUAAGGAUCAGGCAGUAUUUUUUCCUUAAUUUUUUAUACUAAUAACUGACUCUUACUUCCGAGUUUCAAAAAUCGUUGAUGUCAUCGUAUACACUUCGGAUACACAUAGACUGAUGGACAUAGACUAUCACAAUGUAUCUAACAUAUAUCUGCUUUUAAAUUGUGCAAUAUUUGGGACAUCUAUCAGGUAUGGUGGAUUGGCGGUUGACUAAACUUAAAUCAGCAUAACAAUACAUUGAACCAUGGAUAUAGUAGAAAACACAUUAUUAAUUGAUGUGAGAGAAUAGACAUGUAAACAUGAAUGGAUGUUCGAAACAAAUAUUUCAACCAACACCUAAUGCAAAAUGCUCCUCUCCUGGGCAUCCUUUAUUCGAAUUUGCAUCUUCGCCCCACAGCCUGUUGUCCCACACAAUGUGAAAAAACAACCCCUUAGUCCCUUACUUAGCAGACCAAUGAACAGAAGAGUUGUUUAAUAUAGGAAUUGAUGAUUGCAGUGAGAGAUGACAAUUGGGUAACACUUUAGUUCAUCACUUUUGGCUUCUCCAUUGUAGUUGAUUGAUUGGUGGAAGGUGACUCAAUCAUUAAUGUUCGGUGAGCAGAGUGGUGGGUCAAUGGUGGUUCAGUGGUGUUCUAGUGUAACUGCAGUGGUGAACAGCAGCGGUGGUGGUUGCGGUGAGAGAUAACAAUGUGCGGUGAGGAGUUGAAGAUGGUUUUACGAAGAUAGCGGUUCGGUGUGCGAGAGGAGAUUGAAGCGGCGAUGGACUGGACUUGCAGAGGGUGGAAAUGAAGAAGUUGCAAGGGACGACGACUCUGUGUUUGCGUGGUUGUAGAUUGAGAAAAUGGUGGGUUAUAGUAAGGAUGGGUGGUGAUGGAAAAUGGAGACAGUUGCAACGUGCAUUAUGCAACCUAUAAGAAUAUAUGGGAGAAAGAUGGAGAGAGACGGUGGGGGAGAAGAACGUGUAGUUGCGACGGUGCCAGUGAUAUGGAAAGUAGUUGAGGCAGAGAAUAGCAAUCGGAGGGAUGGAGAAUAAGUAGUUUUCUAUAUAUAUAUCAAGAGAGAGAGAAAGAAUGGUCGAGAUGGUAACAGGACCAGUUUGGUCGGUGGAGAUGAACGGAGCAGAAAAAAGAAGGCAUGGAGUGACUGAGCGAAAGACAGCAGAGAGAGAAUAUGGAAAUAGAGAAAAAGAUAAUGGGAGAGGUAGCGGCAGAAGGAAAGAAUGGGUGGAGCUGCGUCCGGUGACCGUGGCCAGAGAAGAUGAUGAUAUCAGCAAUGAAAGGAAGGAAGUGAGGACGAAGUAGGGAUAGAGAGGAGAUAACACCGGAGGGUGCUUACGGAUAGAGAGUUACUAACAUCAGAACUUGAUUUGGUAUCAUGCUUAACCCAGCUCGGAUCAGGUCUGGACUACCUUUAACCUCCCAAAUAAAGUUGACAUAACAGUUACUGAAGAUUGCCAGUCUUAAGCAAAUGGUCUGUAAAGCCUGGCGCCUUGAGCCCUCUGUAAUUCUUGACUUAAGUUCCACAUUGUAUUUGGCCAAGUUUUGAACUAUCUUUGAUUGUAAUCGGGUAAAAGAAAAGGGCCCUUGGUUGUAUGAGAAUGAUCUUAUACUUCUUCACGAGGGAGAUAGUUCUGGUGAAAACAAGAGAAAGCAAAAGAAUCUCUACAGAUUACAGUUUACAGGGGGAUCCACUUGCCCUCUAAUCCUGUACCAAAUUUCUUAUGACAGUGGAGUGGAGCAGCAGCCUGUCACAGCAUUGAAUCCUAUUCAGGAUGAGAAGUGGGUGGGGCCUCCCUUGAUCUAUGGAGCUUUGAUGAUGCUCCUAUUGCCAUGAAGUAGAAGGCAAUUUUUUGACUCUAUUCUUGCACAUAGCUGCUCUCGAACUAUGAUUCCUUGGUGUCUUAUUGGUCACUUGAAUUGCAUUUACAAUCCAGAUGAGAAAUUUGGAGGAUGGGAGCUUUCUCAAUCGAUACAAAAUGUGUUUGGAAUUGAGAGAAGUUUGGGUGGUUGUGUUGAUAAGGAUAAGAGAGAAAGUAGAGAUUAGGUGUAGUUUCAAUUGAGAUAGAAUUCUCAGUCUAUAAAUAUGAUAUAGUUAA